AUUGAACGCUGGCGGCAGGCCUAACACAUGCAAGUCGAACGGUAACAGGAAACAGCUUGCUGUUUCGCUGACGAGUGGCGGACGGGUGAGUAAUGUCUGGGACACUGCCUGAUGGAGGGGGAUAACUACUGGAAACGGUAGCUAAUACCGCAUAACGUCGCAAGACCAAAGAGGGGGACCUUCGGGCCGCUUGCCAUCGGAUGUGCCCAGAUGGGAUUAGCUUGUUGGUGGGGUAACGGCUCCCCAAGGCGACGAUCCCUAGCUGGUCUGAGAGGAUGAGCAGCCACACUGGAACUGAGACACGGUCCAGACUCCUACGGGAGGCAGCAGUUGGGAAUAUUGCACAAUGGGCGCAAGCCUGAUGCAGCCAUGCCGCGUGUAUGAAGAAGGCCUUCGGGUUGUAAAGUACUUUCAGCGGGGAGGAAGGGAGUAAAGUUAAUACCUUUACUCAUUGACGUUACCCGCAGAAGAAGCACCGGCUAACUCCGUGCCAGCCGCCGCGGUAA
rnacentral:rRNA from 1 species